CUAAAAUUCUAUAUCACAGUCAAUUUGUCCACAAAAAGGAGUCUUUUUUUAUUUAUUUUUAGGGGAUUAAGUUUCAUUUAUAUUACCUUUAUCAUGUAUUACAGCAAUAUAACUUAUUAAUAUCACUGAACAAUCUGCUAAUCUAGUGAAAACCAGCUUAUUCAAGAUUACAUAUUUAAUGUAAACUUUAAAUGAUUCGUUGCACUUGUAAAUGAGGGUGUGUUAUUACAAGGAAAUAAUAAAACGGUCUUGAUCUGCAAGGCAAAAUUUACAGAUGUACAGUGUAUUGAAUAUGAUGAAACCGAUGCACUGAAUGCUUUACACCAUACACAUCAGAACAACACAUGGGCACCUGCAAAGUACUGACUAGCUUCCUGUUUCAAUUUGGAUGCAUGAUAACAUGGAAUAAUUGCAUUAUUACUUCAGUCAGGAUUGUCUGUUGAACUGACAGACAGACAAACCCACAGACACAUGCACCGAUGGGAGGACAAACAGCCAGGACAACACAAAUUUUAUCUCCCUUCGUCUUCGGUGGGGGAUAAUAGUAACAACAAGAGCUGUCCAUAAGACAGCGCAGUCACCUUUUCUCAGUGAUUGACUCUGAAUUAGAGCUUUGUCAGUAAAAAAAUUCCAAGUUAAAACGGGACAUAACUCUGUCAAAAUUCAAAUCAGAGUUAUGGGAAUUGUGUCUCCUGGUGUAGACUUUGAUAGUAAAUAACUAUGUUGAGUUUCAAGUCAAAAGCUUUAAUAAUAACAGAGAUAUUUGACUUUAUCAAAAAUUUUAACAAAAAAUUCUAAGUUAAAAAGGGGCACAAUUCUGUCAAAAUUCAAAUCAGAGUUAUGUGGAUUGUUUCUCCUGGUGUAGACUUUGACAGUAAAUAACUAUUUUAAGUUUCAAGUCAAUAGCUUUGAUAGUAACAGAGAUAUUUGACUUUAUCAAAAACUUUAACCAACGGCGACGCUGAUGCCACGGCGAGUGCAAUAGCUCUUCAUUUUCUUCAAAAAGUCGAGCUAAAAACUGACUGUGUUGCCUGAAUAAAAUAAUAUUACCAUUGUAA